rnacentral:rRNA from 1 species
UACGUAGGUGGCAAGCGUUGUCCGGAUUUACUGGGCGUAAAGCGUGCGCAGGCGGUUUUGUAAGCCAGAUGUGAAAGCCCCGGGCUUAACCUGGGAAUGGCAUUUGGGACUGCAAGGCUUGAGUGCGGCAGAGGAGACUGGAAUUCCUGGUGUAGCAGUGAAAUGCGUAGAUAUCAGGAGGAAUACCGAUGGCGAAGGCAGGUCUCUGGGCUGACACUGACGCUCAUGCACGAAAGCGUGGGGAGCAAACAGG